CCUUUACUCCUACAGAUUCCAGGAAGCCACAUUCCCAUUCAAACAACUCCUCUGGCCUAAGAUCUGCCUAUUCAAAGUCAUAUCUGAUGCACUAUUCUUAGUUUUGUUGCUUUAUACAAUUUUCAGAAGACAUUGCAUUGUAGACAAAGUUUAUUUCUUCAUGCAGCCAUGCCUCUGCCAGUGGAAGUCUUGAGAACUGUCAGAAUCCUGUCUGUGUACUGUCAAGUAAAUCACAAGGGCUGGGACAGAUUUCAAUCUGCAGAGAUUAUGUCGGAGCAGCCAUUCUUCUGGUGAAGCGGAGACACCCAGGGGACACCAGCAGCCAUAUCUGCACUCAGUAAACAAGACUGAACACAAGGAAGGAGCAGAACAGGAAGGUCACCUCGUGGGAGAGCUCAGAAGUGCAAAGUUACUCCCAAGCAGUGCACUUUGGGCAAAAUUUGGAGUUCUGAUCAUCACACUUUAGUGCUCAGUGCUGAUUCCUUAAAGUCAGUCUCCUUACUUCACAGUUCUGUGCCUCUUCUCCCUCCCAAACCUGUGAACUUGGUGUUUGUACAGAUGAAUUACUCUAAACAAAAACAUUGACUGAUAUGAGCAAAACUGCAUUAAUAUUCAGAAAGGAAAAUUUUUAUAACUUAGCAACAGAGACCAAACCCAUAAUCUUAAAGGAGAGGGUGUUGUUAAUUGGACAGCAUCCUUUCUUAUGCAGGCCAAUGAGGCACAGGCACCUUAAUGGAACCAAAUUGUAUCCUACUAAAAAUUACAAGAAAUGUAAUUUUAAUUGCCACAGUCUAGUAACUUCUAUGAUUAAAAACUGAAUGGUAACUUUGUGGUAAACUAUUUCAUACAAAUUGACAUGUGCACAAUGCAAUGACUUGUUGGAAUUAUCUUAUUCUAAAAAGCUCAAAAGAAUUGAGUCCAAAGAGCCACCUCUGAUAAUUUUGAGCUGAAUGUCAACUCCCACUAUUUGUUUAUACAGAAGUAAACCAUUCUGUCAUUUGAUCUGCAUUUUUAUUCACGGGGCCAUUCUUCUUAAUUCAUGCAAUUUUAAAAGAUUGAAUGUUUCAAGAUAAAAUAUUUUUUAAUUAUAAAAUUGCAAGUCAAAUAAAUGUAGAAAAAAGAGACCAUCUAGACUCAGCAUAAGUGUCUUGUGGAUUUUUACACAUGAAUGGAACAAGAAACUGUUAGAAGAAAUUCAGUAUGGAAAUAUGUGUGCAAAAUGAAGAUGAGCACUUCUGUUAAAGCAUUGUUUUAUAGUUUUAUCACGUGCAGUGUAAGCUUCAAGAAUUUUAAAUGAUCCUGGUAAUUUCAGAGUGAAAUUUUCUUUUAAAAGUACUAGAAUAAAAUGGAGGAAAUAUGUAUUAACUUCUCUUCAGAGGACUGCAUGGUCCUCCCUCCUACCACUAUUCCACGUAGAUUCAUGAAGCUUGAGAAUCCCUGGGUGUGUAAGCAUAGUUGAUGAGAUAGAGGAAUCAAAUUGGCAGAUUGUGUCAAGGAACUGUGGUCAGAUCACUCCUGAGAAGCGUUAGGAUGAUUCUCAUACAUGAGACUAUCUUGACAUAUUAUUUUGAAAUAAAAUGUUUUUGUUUUGAUACCUA